rnacentral:lncRNA from 1 species
CGAGGACUAUUGAUGGGCUUUUGAGUAUAUAGAACUGGGUCUUAUUUCCCGUCAACAAGAACCCCCACACUUAAUUCUUUGCUCAUCCUCGAGCAAAGGUUAGAGAAAGAUAACCUAUGAUUAUGACACUUUUAAGAUAUAAGCAAACACACAAAGACUACUCAAGACAUAUCUUAUACAAGUGGGUUAUGUGGCACUGUCUAACAUAUAUCCUUAGGAUGUUGAAAAAUGGAACAGUUCUCAAAGCAAAGUCAUCUUCCCAUUUUCAUAUCCUUAGUACUUAGAGAUUUUUAUAAAUGUUUUAAAAAGAAAGCACAUAGUUCAUCCUUACUCCUCUAAUAGUACUCUCAAGUCACUCAGUAAGUAUAGGAUUCCUCACCAAGGCAUAGCAUAAGAUUGCCUUCUUUUGUUUCAUCCUACAUCUAUUAGGCUUAUGGGGCUCAAGUAUGGAGAAACAAGAUAGCAUACUUGCAUUGUAUCUAUUGUAAAGUCAAAACAAGGAUCCAAAGAGAAGAAUGUCAUAAUCCUAGAUCAAGAUGUGUAAGUGUGUGAAAAAUGAUUAGAAUAGAAUGCUCCUAUAUUUGAUAAGAUCUCUCUCUCUAUUUUAUUUGAGACAUGGCUAGCUUUUUUUUCUUUUUUUUUCUUCAAAAGCAAUGGAACUUCAUGUGCCCUUUUUUUACUAAGCAUAGCCUUUGUGUCUCAUCUUAUAACCAAUACUUAGAGAGAUAUAUUCUAAACCUUAAAACAUGGAGCAUCUAUAUGGUGGAAAUGGAUGGCAUGUUUUUGCGUACUUCCAAUGUAGAAGCAGCAUAAAUAUGUGGUGUGUGUGUGUGAUCUUGAUCUUGGGACUAUGACAUAAUUCUCAACUAGGGUCACAAGGUUUGACUAAACUCAACACAAGUACAAGUAGCAUAUAUAGAAGGGUUUUGAACAAGGUAUGAGAAUAUAUGGCUGUGGUAGGAAUUCUCUUACUAUUGAGGAGUAAGUGACACUAUGGUUUUAUGAUAUUUUCAAAAAUAAAUCUCUAAGCACUUUGAAUAGAAAGGGUAUGAAUCAUGAGCUAAGAACUAUAUCACAAUUUGUCAACAACCAAGUCAAUAUGAUAUUCCUAUCAAGAUAUGUGACCCACAAGUAUAAGCAUAUGCAAGAAUUAGACUUUGUGACACUUUUACCCUUUUAAUGUCAUGAAUCAUGUCACACUUUUGAUGUCAUAAAUCAUAGAUCCAAGUAUUCUUGUUUUUAUUUUUGUUUUAUUUUAUCUAAUAAAGCAAACAAGAGACAGAAGUAAUAAAAACGAAAGAACAGAGGGGGAGUAGGAGUGGCAAACCAGUCAGAAGGCAGGUAGACGUUGAGUGGAUGCUGAAUGGUGGGUCCAGGGCUCCAAGGUGGGGUCGGCCGUCCCCACUUGGGCUUGUGUAACACCCUAAAAUUUACUCCUUUUUGAAAUAGGUGAAAAAGAUUUAAUUUUGUAUUUUUGUGCUCAUGAAACAUAGAAAAAAUAAUAUUUUUUCAUUGAAAUAAAAUUUAUUAUGAGGCUUAGCAACAAUUGUGUGUUAAAUAUGCUCAUUAUUUAUUAUUUAAAGCUUUACAUUAUUUAUGUCACAUUGAUCAUGAGAUUGUGGGAUCUAUACAAUCUAGUUGCUAUACUUGUGGAGUUCGACAUGGACUUACUCUUGCUAUUUCCCCCAAACCUCAGGAGAAGUUUAGGCUUGUGAUCAACCAGUCAGUUUGGAUCCUAUAGAGUGGAGUUAAUACCCGAAGUUUGGAGUUAUCUUCCGUUGUUUGCUGCUUAAGGUUAUCUCUUUUAUACUAAGUACGUUAUAUAUUUAUGCAUUGUCUUUUGAUAUUACCCCUUAUUUGUAGCUAUAUGUG